GCUGGGUUAGCUCAGUUGGGAGAGCGCCUGCCUUGUAAGCAGGAUGUAGGCGGUUCAGUUCCGUCAACCAGCACUA
rnacentral:tRNA from 2 species